UCUUAUGGGCGGGCCGUGAUGGGGAGGCCUUCGGGCCUGCCGGUUUUCGUUUGGCACCGGUCGCCAACCUUGUCAUUGAGCCCGCUCACCACU
rnacentral:antisense_RNA from 1 species